rnacentral:lncRNA from 1 species
GUGAGUGUGUCUCUGAAUUUUUUUCAUUGCAGAUAGUUUGGUGGAAUUCUAUUUUUAGUUAUGUUUUUUCUCCAUCACUUUGCUUGGGAACGCUGGAUGAAGUGGUUACUUUCAUUUCUCUUUUUCACCAUCAUGAUUGUUUCCUGCAGUCCCAUUUAUUUUUGUCAAGUUUUUCUUCAUGCCAUCAAUCUGUCUCAUUUGUGUAUCUGUUCUGUUUCUUUUUCUUUUUUCACAGCUGCGAAGAGCCAUGGAUGGUCUUUUAUUUGGUUGGUUUUCAUUCCUGAUGCAUAUACAAACCACUAGAGUAUGCAUUUUUGAAUCUUAUAUAUAUCUUCCAGAUUUAGCUUUAUAUUAUGAAGAUAUUUGUCAUUUGGGCAGCUGAGAAAGGCUUUUUCCUUGAGACACUCUCUGCUUACCUUUUAUAAUGUUCAGACAGGAGGUUGUCAGUUAACUUGCUAUAAAUCUACCUUCAGCUUCAGUGUGAUAUAAUUAUAUAAGUUCUAUUAUUAAUGAUGCAUUUCUGGUUUGGUCUGCUCUUGAUAGUGCUAGUGGUCACCAGCCCUGCUAUUUUGGCAUUUAUAGUGAGCACAUAUCUUCUGAUAAUUAUAUUUCUCUUUUAUAAAAUGUUUUAUAUACACAUUUCUUUUAAUGUGUCAGCAUAGCAAAUAUUUUCCAAAUGUCCACAACGUCUGAGGCAUUGUUGUAAGCAAUGGGAAUGCUAUGGUAAAUAAGAUGCCAUAUACAAAUUACAUUCUAGUGUGGGAGAGAGACAGCAAGUAAGAAAGACACUUGAUAGAGCUGCAGAGUGUUGAGUACUGUGAAGAACACGAAGCGCGAUGUGAACGUGGAGAUGAAGGCAUGUGCUGUGGUCAUGGAAGGCCUUUUGGGGGAAGUGACUUUCAAGCAGAGACCUGAUUGAUAUGAUGCCAUGAAGGGCAGUUUAGGGAAGGGAGCAGCAAGUCAAGAGGCCCUGAGGCUGGAGUGUCUCAGGGCCAGCAAGAAGGUCAGAGUGCCUGGAUGAUAGUUGGCUAGUGGGUGAGUGGUAGGAGUUGAGGCUGGAUCAUAGCCAGUUAGAGGGUGAGUGGUAGGAGAUGAGGUUGGAUGAUAGUCAGCUAGGGGGUGAGUGGUGGGAGGUGAGGUUGGAGGGAUAGCCGGUUAGCAGGUGAGUGGUGGGAGGUGAGGCUGGAUGAUAGCCAACUAGGGGGUGAGUGGUAGGAGGUAAGGUUGGAUGAUAGCUAGGGGGUGAGUAGUGGUAGGUGAGGUUGGAUCAUAGCCAGCUAGAGGGUGAAUGUUAGGAGGUAAGGUUGGAUGUUGGAUCAUAGCCAGCUAGGGGGUGAAUGGUAGGAGGUAAG